rnacentral:rRNA from 1 species
GAUGAACGCUGGCGGCGUGCCUAAUACAUGCAAGUCGAGCGAACGGACGAGAAGCUUGCUUCUCUGAUGUUAGCGGCGGACGGGUGAGUAACACGUGGAUAACCUACCUAUAAGACUGGGAUAACUUCGGGAAACCGGAGCUAAUACCGGAUAAUAUUUUGAACCGCAUGGUUCAAAAGUGAAAGACGGUCUUGCUGUCACUUAUAGAUGGAUCCGCGCUGCAUUAGCUAGUUGGUAAGGUAACGGCUUACCAAGGCAACGAUGCAUAGCCGACCUGAGAGGGUGAUCGGCCACACUGGAACUGAGACACGGUCCAGACUCCUACGGGAGGCAGCAGUAGGGAAUCUGCCGCAAUGGGCGAAAGCCUGACGGAGCAACGCCGCGUGAGUGAUGAAGGUCUUCGGAUCGUAAAACUCUGUUAUUAGGGAAGAACAUAUGUGGAAGUAACUGUGCACAUCUUGACGGUACCUAAUCAGAAAGCCACGGCUAACUACGUG